CACAUCCGCAUCCUUUGCUGAGGAUACGGUUAACGGAGCGAAAGCGACGUUCAACCGCAAAACAAGCAGAGGGGGCUUAGUGGUGGGGUGACUGCGUACCUUUUGUAUAAUGGGUCAGCGACUUAUAUUCUGUAGCAAGGUUAACCGAAUAGGGGAGCCGGAGGGAAACCGAGUCUUAAUUGGGCGUUAAGUUGCAGGGUAUAGACCCGAAACCCGGUGAUCUAGCCAUGGGCAGGUUGAAGGUUGGGUAACACUAACUGGAGGACCGAACCGACUAAUGUUGAAAAAUUAGCGGAUGACCUGUGGCUGGGGGUGAAAGGCCAAUCAAACCGGGAGAUAGCUGGUUCUCCCCGAAAGCUAUUUAGGUAGCGCCUCGUGAAUUCAUCUCCGGGGGUAGAGCACUGUUUCGGCUAGGGGGCCAUCCCGGCUUACCAACCCGAUGCAAACUGCGAAUACCGGAGAAUGUUAUCACGGGAGACACACGGCGGGUGCUAACGUCCGUCGUGAAGAGGGAAACAACCCAGACCGCCAGCUAAGGUCCCAAAGUCAUGGUUAAGUGGGAAACGAUGUGGGAAGGCCCAGACAGCCAGGAUGUUGGCUUAGAAGCAGCCAUCAUUUAAAGAAAGCGUAAUAGCUCACUGGUCGAGUCGGCCUGCGCGGAAGAUGUAACGGGGCUAAACCAU
rnacentral:rRNA from 1 species